AAUUGUAAAAUAUCGUAUCUUUUAUUUAUCGGUUAUAUUGAAAAUGCCCUAACUGUCAAUUUUCAUUCAGUUUUUACAAUCGUAAGAAGCUCAAGCGCUCCGGUCACCAAUGACCACCGUGGCCAUAUAUGACCCACGUGGCAGUCAAAGUGUUAAUAAAACUGAAAUCCACCCGACCUGAACGUUCUUCGUACCCUAAUCAAUGUAACAAAGUGAUCACAAGUUGCUUCAUACGUUCUGUCCCUAAUUUCUUCCG